ensembl:lncRNA
GAGCCAAGGUGUGAAAACGGGUGUGGGUCCCAGUCAGCCAAAGUUUCGGGUGAACCUAUUGUGAAGUCUAGCCCCACCCGAUCAUGUGAUUUACUGAGGUCAAAUGUCCCAGGAUGUGAGUGGGUGUUAAGGCGUCUGGGAAGGGAUCUCAAAACUGGAUUAUAGAUGGCAGACAGUUGGUGUCGUAAGCCACCGCCUCUGUUCAAAGAUGGUCGUUCACAGUGGGCAUGACAGCUCAUCUCAUGUAAAAGUAAGGACAAAUGAUUAAAAAAUACUCUCUCUGGGGAAUAAUUGCACUAACAAUACACAAGCAAAGCAUUAUUUGAAGAAAAAUUAACAAGUACUGUGUGAUACACUGGUUGUUGUGAGUAACACAUCAGAAUUCUUUAUUUCAUUCUCAUUAGAGCCUCUCCUGGGAUAAAAGAGAAAAUAUAUACAUACAAGGCAGAGGGUCAUUUAACACACAUCAUCAUCAUCAUCUUUAAAAAAAAGAAAAGAAAUAAAUACAUCAAUCAAUAAAUCACCCAUGUCCAAAUGCAGAUAUAAUUUAUUUACAAGAUUUUCAGAAGCUCAAAAGUAACUAGACAUUUGGCUAACAGGCUUUUUCAUGGCCAGGUGAGAUCUGUUCUCUAGUUAUUCUGUAGUGUUCAGUUCAAGAUUGAUGUGUUUUAUUUGACACUGGAUACAUAUGUAUGUCAAAUGAAACUAGUCGAAAGCAUGCAACCUCAAAGUUCAGUCCUAUUUUCUUUUAGCGUAAAAUAAUCAGCCAUGACUGCUUGAAAAGAAAAUGCCACAUACCUUUAGUUGAAUCUGGAACUGACUUUUAGCCUUGUUUGUAUAACACAAAAGCAGACUCUUAAAAUAAAACUGAAGUUUUGACCCCUGUAACAAAAACUUAACCACCAACUUCGUUCAGAGAACUGUGUGCUUACUCUAGCUUCUUUUGUUUUUCAGAGCCUGAGCUGCAAUCAGCACAGCAGGAGAUGGAGCAGCUCCGGCAGGAGGUAGAAAAGCUGAAGAAAUAUGGUCGUGUCGCUGCAAGAAGAAGCAGAGCAGCUGAAGGCAGCCUUACAGGAGGAGCUCCUAACUAAACAGACUCCAGCCAAACAAGUAACAGAGAUGACUGAAGUUGUGUCUCUAAAGAAGAAGGCAGAGCGACUGGAGUCAGCCCUACAAGAGCAGCAGCAGCAACUUCUCACUGUGCGAGUUCAGGCCAACCAUGCCAAUGAAUUAGCCAAAUCUCAAACAGCAGAGCUGGUACAGAGCAAUAAGACCUGCAGACGUUUGCAAGAAAAGCUCACUGCAGAGAUGAGAAGCCUUUUGGAAAAAGAGGAAACUCUAUUAUAUAUCGGCCACCUACAGGGAGGAGGUGGAGGAGGUGGAUCGUCUGGCUGAGUGGUGCGACACAAACAACCUGCUGCUUAACACCGAGAAGACUAAGGAGCUCAUCGUGGACUACAGGAG